UCCUACGGGAGGCAGCAGUGGGGAAUUUUCCGCAAUGGGCGAAAGCCUGACGGAGCAACGCCGCGUGAGGGAGGAAGGCCUUAGGGUUGUAAACCUCUUUUCUCUGGGAAGAAGUACUGACGGUACCAGAGGAAUAAGCCUCGGCUAACUCCGUGCCAGCAGCCGCGGUAAGACGGAGGAGGCAAGCGUUAUCCGGAAUUAUUGGGCGUAAAGCGUCCGCAGGCGGCUAAUUAAGUCUGUUGUUAAAUCCCGGGGCUCAACUGUGGAUCGGCAAUGGAAACUGGUUGGCUAGAGUGUGGUAGGGGAAAAGGGAAUUCCCGGUGUAGCGGUGAAAUGCGCAGAUAUCGGGAAGAACACCAGUGGCGAAGGCGCUCUACUGGGCCUCUCCUGACGCUGAGAGACGAAAGCGAGGGGAGCGAAAGGGAUUAGAUACCCCUGUAGUCCUAGCUGUAAACGAUGGAUACUAGGUGUUGGGCGUAUCGACCCGUUCAGUACCGUAGCUAACGCGUUAAGUAUCCCGCCUGGGGAGUACGCACGCAAGUGUGAAACUCAAAGGAAUUGACGG
rnacentral:rRNA from 1 species